UAUAGCUCAGUUGGUUAGAGC
rnacentral:misc_RNA from 1 species